GGAGGGAAGGCAGAUUUUAUAAGAAAACACAGUCACUAGGAGCUACUGCACAAAAGAUUUACCUCCCAGGACAUCUUGUGAAAAUCUGAAAGUGAGCAGAGCAACAGCAGCCAUGAAGUCCCAAGCUCUUUUCUUUCUCCUGCUCCUCACGUGCAUGGACCCGAGUCUUGCCCAAGUCUUUCUUGAAUGCUGCCUCAUAUACUCAAGGACUGUGAUUCCAAUCAGAAACAUUGAAAGUUACAGGAUCCAGGAGAUUGGGCUUUGCAACAUGAGAGCCGUUAUAUUUCAGACAAAGACAAAGAAGUUGCUGUGUGCCAAUCCAGACGACAGAUGGGUCCAGGAACGGAUUGGUACUCUGGAUAUGAGAAAUGAGAGCUAGGUCUCCGUGGUGGAGAAGAAGUCAUCUGACUCAGAUCUGUUUGACGGCACCUGAACAUGCUCAACGUUCUGAAUCCAUAUUCUUCAUAUAUGUUUACAAUCUAUCUAUGGUUUUCUCAUUCUGAUUUUCCACAUUUUUAUUGCUGACAGAAUAUAACUGUACAAGGUUCACUAUAGCACGAACCAAAUCCUCAGUGUUUCAGUCUCCAUUUGGCAUCAACUUGAGCGACUAAUUGACAACGUGAGCCAUCCAAUAACACUUUAAAGCUGAUUUUCAUUGUCUCAAUGAUAACAUUGGUCGUAGAGGGUUGACUUGAAAGUCAAAAAUGUUGAAAAUGUCUGUUAAAAUUCAGAGUCAUCCAGUCCAACAUUUCCAGAUUUAGGGAAAAAUUCAUUUUUGCAAGCCUAUAAGGUAUUUACAUUAAAAAAGGUUUUGCAUUUAAACUUUCCUCUUGCUCAUAUUAGCUGUGAGGUGAGCCCCUGAAAUGUGCUUCCACUGUUAACUAUGGCAUCAGUCUUUUUAAAAUCAGUCUUUAUUAAUUGUUAAAAUGCAUUUAAAAGUUUAUUCUAGUCAGUGGGAAGUUCUAGUCUAUAUAUCACAUAUGAGGUUUGAUGGUUAAUGAAAUAAUAAAUGAGCUCCUUUUAGCAUGUAAAA